CCCUUAGAUGUUCUGGGCUGCACGCGCGCUACACUGAUGCGAUCAACAAGUUUUUCCUAUGUCGAUAGACACGGGUAAUCUUUUGAACUCGCAUCGUGAUGGGGAUAGAUUAUUGAAAUUAUUAAUCUUCAACGAGGAAUUCCUAGUAGGUGCAAAUCAUCAGUUUGCAUCGAUUACGUCCCUGCCCUUUGUACACACCGCCCGUCGCUGCUACCGAUUGGUUGAUCUGGUGAAUUAUUCGGACUGCCGGCUGAAGGGGUUUCCUCAUCUGCCAGCGGAAAGUCUUGUUAACCCUAUCAACUAGAGGAAGCAGAAGUCGUAACA
rnacentral:rRNA from 1 species